CCUACGGGCGGCAGCAGUGAGGAAUAUUGGUCAAUGGACGAGAGUCUGAACCAGCCAAGUAGCGUGAAGGAUGACUGCCCUAUGGGUUGUAAACUUCUUUUAUAUGGGAAUAAAAUGUUCCACGUGUGGGAUUUUGUAUGUACCAUAUGAAUAAGGAUCGGCUAACUCCGUGCCAGCAGCCGCGGUAAUACGGAGGAUCCGAGCGUUAUCCGGAUUUAUUGGGUUUAAAGGGAGCGUAGGUGGAGUGUUAAGUCAGUUGUGAAAGUUUGCGGCUCAACCGUAAAAUUGCAGUUGAAACUGGCAGUCUUGAGUACAGUAGAGGUGGGCGGAAUUCGUGGUGUAGCGGUGAAAUGCUUAGAUAUCACGAAGAACUCCGAUUGCGAAGGCAGUUCACUGGACUGCAACUGACACUGAGGCUCGAAAGUGUGGGUAUCAAACAGGAUUAGAUACCCGUGUAGUC
rnacentral:rRNA from 1 species